GAUGAACGCUGGCGGCGUGCCUAAUACAUGCAAGUCGAGCGAACAGAUGAGAAGCUUGCUUCUCUGAUGUUAGCGGCGGACGGGUGAGUAACACGUGGGUAACCUACCUAUAAGACUGGGAUAACUCCGGGAAACCGGGGCUAAUACCGGAUAAUAUUUUGAACCGCAUGGUUCAAUAGUGAAAGACGGUUUCGGCUGUCACUUAUAGAUGGACCCGCGCCGUAUUAGCUAGUUGGUAAGGUAUCGGCUUACCAAGGCGGCGAUACGUAGCCGACCUGAGAGGGUGAUCGGCCACACUGGAACUGAGACACGGUCCAGACUCCUACGGGAGGCAGCAGUAGGGAAUCUUCCGCAAUGGGCGAAAGCCUGACGGAGCAACGCCGCGUGAGUGAUGAAGGUCUUCGGAUCGUAAAACUCUGUUGUUAGGGAAGAACAAAUUUGUUAGUAACUGAACAAGUCUUGACGGUACCUAACCAGAAAGCCACGGCUAACUACGUGCCAGCCGCCGCGGUAA
rnacentral:rRNA from 1 species